AUGAAUAAGGGUAACUUUAAAGAGUUGUUGGACUUGUUCAUAAAGAAAGACCCAAAGGUGGCAAAAUUAUUUGGGGAUGCGGGAGAUAACCAUAAGUUGACAUCACAUAAGAUACAAAAGGAUUUAUGCAAGGCUUGUGCAAAAGAGACCACCAGUGCCAUUCUUGAGGAGAUUGGAGAUAGUAAAUUUGCAUUACUUGUUGAUGAGUCCAGAUAUGCAUCUAUGAAGGAGCAAAUGGCUAUGUGUUUGAGGUAUCUCGGCAAACGAGGGGAGGUGAUUGAGAGAUUCAUGGCAGUUAAACAUGUUCCUGACACUAAAGCAACUUCACUGAAGGUAGCUCUGGAUGGUAUGUUUGGUAAUCUUGGCUUAUCUAUGUCUAAUUUGAGAGGGCAGGGUUAUGAUGGGGCUUCAAACAUGAGAGGGGAAUUUCGUGGGUUGCAAAGAUUGAUCUUGGCGGAAAAUCGUUAUGCUCAUUAUAUACAUUGUUUUGCCCACCAAUUACAAUUAGUGGUUGUUGCUGUUGCCAAGUGUUGUUCAUCAGUAAGGGAUUUUUUUGAGUACACAAGCAUGGUUGUUAACAUUGUUAAUGCUUCUUGUAAAAGACAUGAUCAAUUAGCCCAAGAGCAACAUGAUGAAAUAGUACGCCAAAUAGAGUCCGGGGAACUUCUUGAGGGAAAAGGGAAAAACCAAUUAACUAACCUUGCAAGACCUGGUGAUACACGGUGGGGAUCACAUCAUAAAACAUUGUGUCGUCUUGUUGAGAUGUGGAAACCAGUUCUAAAGGUAUUAGAAAAUUUACACAAUGAUGUAGAUAAUGUUGCCCAAAGAACCACAACCGCGGGGUUGAUAAAGCACAUGGAGUCUUUCGAAUUUGUUCUCAUAUUGCAUCUGAUGAUUAGAUUAUUGGGCAAGACUAACAAUCUGUCACAAUGCUUGCAAUUGAAAAAUCAAAAUAUUGUACGUGUUGUGGGAUUGAUUAAAACCAUAUUGGAGGAUAUUCAAGAGAUAAGGCAUAACGGUUGGGAUGAGCUCUUCAAAGAGGUAACAGACUUUUGUGUCAAAUACAACAUUGUAGUGGCAAAUAUGGAAGAUACAAGAACUGCUAAUGGCCGUUCAAGGUCUUGGGGCGGGCAAUUGUUGAACAACCGCUUUGCUGAAAGGUCUACUCAAUCGUUGAGAUGCAUUGCUUGUCUUGAUCCCAAGAAUUCAUUUGCCAAUUAUAAUGAAGACAAGCUAGUAGAUCUUGCUAAUAUGUAUGCUGCUGAGUUCUCCACAUAUGAAGUUACUUUUGUCCUUAGAAACCAACUAGACUCAUUCAUUCGGGAAGCAAGAGGUGAUCCACAUUUGAUGAAUUGCAAUGAUCUUGGUCAUCUUGCCAUGAAUAUGGUUAAAAGUGAUAUGCACACAACUUUUCCCUUAGUUUACCAUCUGGUUGAGUUAGCAUUGAUUUUACCUGUUGCAACCGCAACCGUGGAAAGGGCAUUCUCAGCAAUGAGCAUUAUCAAGACCGGAUUGAGGAACAAAAUGGGUGAUGAUUGGAUGAAUCAUAGAAUGGUAUGUUACAUUGAGAGAGAUGUAUUUGUUACUAUAGAAGAAUCCAAAAUCAUUGAGCGAUUUCAAGGCUAUCGCACAAGUAAAUGUGUUUUGCCUCGUCCUACACGUUUAACAAUGUCUGCUAUUGAAGAUGUAGUCAUGGGAGGCUCAGAUCAACCAAUCAUUUGA
rnacentral:rRNA from 1 species